UGGUGGUGAGCUGACUGUGUACUGCGAUUAAACGUGACAUGCCUAUUGCCGUCUAACAUAUAUGGGCUAUUAAAAAAUAUAUAAUUUUUUCUUUCUGGUUGACCUCACUCUGACAAAAGGAUGAUGCAUGAGGUACACCACAGACUCUACAGCAGGGCAAAAGGAAACUGGAGCAAACAGAAGAAGGUUGUCCAGCUGAUGAUAGAGUAGGUGUAAAGGAGAGUCCUAGAGGUGGAGAACCUUUCUUUGCUCUCACUCGGCUCGCACUGAAUGGAGCGCGUCACGAUAUCACCACUUAUACAUCUUCUCAAUGGUUCUCCCUACCAGACCUUACCCACGACUUCCACUAGGGGACCUUGUGCUCUAUUGCAAAUCAUUGAUCGUCCUCAAUGUGUCAAAUUGGUCAGCUUCAAGAGGAUUAAAUCACUCCAUGUUACUACAACCUCAAUGUUUUCCAGCCCCACUGGUGAGCUGGU